CGAGUAUUCUCUUCAUUUUCAUUUCUCUAUCUUUUUUUCUCCUCCUGCCUCUCCUUCUCUUCCCUCUUAGAUUUUGGGUUUCGAUUAAUUGCAAUUGAGAUGUUGUUUUUAUCAUAACAGAUGUUCAAUCAUAAUCAGUGUUUCGGUCUGGUUUGUUGCAGUGGUGGAAGAAGAAAAUGGAGGAGAUGGCCAAGAACAAGAAGUUGCCGAGGAAGUGAGUUGUUUGCUGUGAUGAUGGCUGAAAUGGGUGCUUGUUUGAGCAUUUUCAGAUGAGUUAGGCGGUGAACUGAAAUUACAAGAAGGUUGAGUGUGGAAGGUAUGUUUAAUGAAGAUGGCAUCAGAAUGGUGGUGAGUUUGGUUACUUUCGGUAAUUGGUUCAAGCAAUAGAAGACAAAGAUUGGUUGAAUUAGUUGAGAUGUUGUUGUUGAUUUUAUAUGCAAAUGGGUUUAAUCUAAUGUUUCCAAGGGUAAGAGGAUGCUGGUUCUGGUGAUGCAAUUUGAUCUCAUAACGAAGGAUGUUUAGGUCAAAAAGUGGUGUUGUUGUGUUAUUGACGGCUGAGUUAUGGCGGUUGUUUGGCUGUGAAUUGUUGGGAAUAGCAGAAUGAGUUGCAGCUGGGCGUGCAACUAGAUGAACAUAGCAGGGAGGUGAUUGAAGCUGCAGAAUGGAUGUGGAAACAUUCAUACUCAGGUGUAUGCAGGGUAUUUGGAAUUCCGGCCUAUUUUCGGCAGAGAAACUACAAGGGGUUGGGAUUGCUUCUGGUAGUGCUGAUGGUGCUGUUCUAACUGCUAUUAAGUUCAGGUUAAGAAGUAGUGGGAGUGGUCAGUUUUGUGUGGAUGAUGCAUUUGGAAGGGGCUUGAUUGAGCGAUACUGAGAUUAGCAGAAGGAGAAGCUUGCUGGGGGAAGAGAAAAAGAAACUGGAUAUUCUUUCAAAUGAUGUAUUUGUUAAGGCUCUCAUAAGCAGUGGAAAAACAGUAAUUCCUCGAGAACUAUUGAGUUGGAUUUGACUAUGGUGUUCAAUAGAUGGAUUUGAAAUUGGUUAAGUAAUUUAUUGCAUCCUCCUUAUCGACAGCGUAUUAUAGUAAAGGAAAGAAGACGGAGAAACAACUUUUGUGGAUCCAGCGUUGUGUUCAAGAUACUGUGUGGUUUUUUGUAAUACCCCAAAAUUCGGCGGUGUUUGGCCGAAUGGAAUAUAAAUAAUGAUUUGUCCUUUCCAAACACCGAGGCCUUUUUAGCACAAUUGGCUUCAGAGUUGGCAGAAAACUCUGCAGUUAAGCGUGCUCGG